CAGUCGCCGCGGGAAUACGAAGGGGGCUAGCGUUGCUCGGAAUUACUGGGCGUAAAGGGAGCGUAGGCGGACAUUUAAGUCAGGGGUGAAAUCCCAGAGCUCAACUCUGGAACUGCCUUUGAUACUGGGUGUCUUGAGUGUGAUAGAGGUAUGUGGAACUCCGAGUGUAGAGGUGAAAUUCGUAGAUAUUCGGAAGAACACCAGUGGCGAAGGCGACAUACUGGAUCAUUACUGACGCUGAGGCUCGAAAGCGUGGGGAGCAAACAGGAUUAGAUACCCCGGUAGUCCCUGUCUCUUAUAC
rnacentral:rRNA from 1 species